GAUGAACGCUGGCGGCGUGUCUAAUACAUGCAAGUCGAGCGAACAGACGAGGAGCUUGCUCCUCUGACGUUAGCGGCGGACGGGUGAGUAACACGUGGAUAACCUACCUAUAAGACUGGGAUAACUUCGGGAAACCGGAGCUAAUACCGGAUAACAUGUUGAACCGCAUGGUUCAACAGUGAAAGACGGUUUUGCUGUCACUUAUAGAUGGAUCCGCGUCGCAUUAGCUAGUUGGUAAGGUAACGGCUUACCAAGGCAACGAUGCGUAGCCGACCUGAGAGGGUGAUCGGCCACACUGGAACUGAGACACGGUCCAGACUCCUACGGGAGGCAGCAGUAGGGAAUCUUCCGCAAUGGGCGAAAGCCUGACGGAGCAACGCCGCGUGAGUGAAGAAGGUCUUCGGAUCGUAAAACUCUGUUAUUAGGGAAGAACAAAUGUGUAAGUAACAAUGCACGUCUUGACGGUACCUAAUCAGAAAGCCACGGCUAACUACGUG
rnacentral:rRNA from 1 species